UUUCAAUCACGUGACAGUUUCGCGCCCAAAACAACAUUGCAAGGGCGGGUGCCGCGGUCCCUUCAUUAGUGUGAAACUUUAGGUUAUCAAGAAACCGUGCGGCUGAAUUUAUCAGUUUUGUGUUCUGCUGUGCCCCCUCUUGUCCGCGUACACUUCAGCAAGGCUUUCGGCGGCAACGGCUUCUACGGUAGAAGUCUACGGUAGCGUGGUUCCACCUGGCACUUCACACGCUUCAUGAUCAGGUACAUUGCACAGGCCGGAAGAAAAGAAUGAGAAGCAGAACCAAAAUCUUACUUUGCCACCAAUGCAGCUGAUGAGGAGUGACAGAAAGGAAUACCUAGGAACUAUGCUGUGAGUGCCAUCCGUCUGGCCUUCAUUGCCAUGCUUC